GACGAACGUUGGCGGCGUGCUUAACACAUGCAAGUCGAACGGAAAGGCCCUGCUUUUGUGGGGUGCUCGAGCGGCGAACGGGUGAGUAACACGUGAGUAACCUGCCCUUGACUUUGGGAUAACUUCAGGAAACUGGGGCUAAUACCGGAUAGGAGCUCCUGCUGCAUGGUGGGGGUUGGAAAGUUUCGGCGGUUGGGGAUGGACUCGCGGCUUAUCAGCUUGUUGGUGGGGUAGUGGCUUACCAAGGCUUUGACGGGUAGCCGGCCUGAGAGGGUGACCGGCCACAUUGGGACUGAGAUACGGCCCAGACUCCUACGGGAGGCAGCAGUGGGGAAUAUUGCACAAUGGGCGGAAGCCUGAUGCAGCAACGCCGCGUGCGGGAUGACGGCCUUCGGGUUGUAAACCGCUUUCGCCUGUGACGAAGCGUGAGUGACGGUAAUGGGUAAAGAAGCACCGGCUAACUACGUGCCAGCAGCCGCGGUGAUACGUAGGGUGCGAGCGUUGUCCGGAUUUAUUGGGCGUAAAGGGCUCGUAGGUGUUGAUCGCGUCGGAAGUGUAAUCUUGGGGCUUAACCCUGAGCGUGCUUUCGAUACGGGUUGACUUGAGGAAGGUAGGGGAGAAUGGAAUUCCUGGUGGAGCGGUGGAAUGCGCAGAUAUCAGGAGGAACACCAGUGGCGAAGGCGGUUCUCUGGGCCUUUCCUGACGCUGAGGAGCGAAAGCGUGGGGAGCGAACAGGCUUAGAUACCCUGGUAGUCCACGCUGUAAACGGUGGGUACUAGGUGUGGGGUCCAUUCCACGGGUUCCGUGCCGUAGCUAACGCUUUAAGUACCCCGCCUGGGGAGUACGGCCGCAAGGCUAAAACUCAAAGGAAUUGACGGGGCCCCGCACAAGCGGCGGAGCAUGCGGAUUAAUUCGAUGCAACGCGUAGAACCUUACCUGGGUUUGACAUGGAUCGGGAGUGCUCAGAGAUGGGUGUGCCUCUUUUGGGGUCGGUUCACAGGUGGUGCAUGGCUGUCGUCAGCUCGUGUCGUGAGAUGUUGGGUUAAGUCCCGCAACGAGCGCAACCCUUGUUCACUGUUGCCAGCACGUUAUGGUGGGGACUCAGUGGAGACCGCCGGGGUCAACUCGGAGGAAGGUGGGGAUGACGUCAAGUCAUCAUGCCCCUUAUGUCCAGGGCUUCACGCAUGCUACAAUGGCUGGUACAGAGAGUGGCGAGCCUGUGAGGGUGAGCGAAUCUCGGAAAGCCGGUCUCAGUUCGGAUUGGGGUCUGCAACUCGACCUCAUGAAGUCGGAGUCGCUAGUAAUCGCAGAUCAGCAACGCUGCGGUGAAUACGUUCCCGGGGCU
rnacentral:rRNA from 1 species